CCAUUGGCGAGCCUCCACUUCCUAUGAAACUUCUCGCGAGAACCAACAUUUUUCCAGACACCUUCAUCAAUGCCAGUUGUUGGGAAUCACAAGUGGGGAGAGUGCUGUUAUGCUCAAGUCCUGCUUGUGGGCUUCCCAACCGUGAUCGAAAUUCCCCGGGUACUGGGUGAGUUUUGCUACUGGCAUGGGACCAACUACGACUGCGCAGUUUUCUGGGCACCAGGUUGGCAACUGACAUCUCCAUCGAGCCAGCUGAUUCGCACGCGGUCCAUCAUCACAUUAAGGAAAGUAAGUGCAGGGCAAAGGACAGAUAUAAUGGGCUGUGCUGCAACCUUUCCACAGGCCACCCCAAUGGAACUAACAAGACACAGUUCAAAAACUUCUGCCUUAGCCCAUAGUUAACACCAUUUCCACUUCCACUCUGUGUGUGUUUCUCAUUCUUGCAUACUGGGGCAAGUGAAUUGCUGUAAGAGCAAGCUACAAUUGAGCAAUGUAGCGGAGAUCAUAGAAUCAUAGAAUUCACAGACAUGCCAUUGUGGUGACCAUAACCUAGGACUGGGGUCAGCAAACGGCGAGGCUUCCUAUCAAAGCCCAGCCCCCUUCCUCCACAGGGCGGAGAGAAGUCAGGAAGAGGGAGGGAGGAGACACCACAGCAGGGAGGGAGGGAGCUGUUCGCGGGCCAGAUCCAGAGGGCAAUUGGGCUGGAUCCGGCCCACAGGCCUUAGUUUGCCGAACCCUGACCUAGCUUAUAUGUCUGAGUUUCUAACACUGUCCAUAGGCAUCUUGUUGGCCAUUGUGAGAAUAGAAUGCUGGACGAGAUGGACCUUUGGCCUGAGAGGGUAGAUUCUUGAUUGUUCCUUUGCAGCCACAUCUUUACUCUCGCCACAUCUGACACCACAUCAGAUGUGGGACAGGUGGGUGUGAUUUGGAGGAAACUACAUCCCUGGCAUAAUUAGCUGAGAGGGUCAGGGCUUUCCCCACUGCUGCUCUCAAGCAGAACACCGUCUACUGAAGGAACCCCAGUCAAAUGCAUGCCUAUGCCCUCACAGAAACCUCUAAACAAGGUUACCUAACCACUCCUGAGGCAAGACAGUCCACCUGUUCUGAAGGUGGAGCUACUCCUACUGUUUAAACAUUGAGAUCUACUUUAAAGUUUCAGAUCCCUUAUGGGCCUUGAGCUCUCCAGGGUUAAGGAAAGAGGUAUUUCCCAUUAUGUGUUAGCAAAUCCUUUUAAACUGGGGAGGGGCCAGGGAUUGAACCUGGGAACUUAUGGCUCCAAAGCAUGCAGUAAAUGCAGCUCUGGUUGAUAUUCUGAUAUGCUACCAGGCAGGCUGGUGGAAAAUUGAAGCUUCUCUCCACCCUAGAGAUGGGAAAACCCAAAUCUUCAACUUCCUGCAUCUUGGUUUGCUUGUAGCAGCAGCAGCAGCAUUUCAAUAUUAAACACAGAAAAAUCAAUUACAGUACAAAAAUAAUUAUACAAACAGAAAGCCCCAUUACAAUUGGCAACUGCACCAAAAAAAUAGUGUCUCACUAUGCCUGCUUGGAGGGUGGUAAUUGUUAACUAAGGCUAAUGUUCUAUGCUCACAUAAUUCACCUAUUUGUAAAGACUUUUGGCAAAGGUUUGCCAUUUUCAGAUUUGUUUGUUAAAGUUAUGGAGUUCCACCAAUCUGCUGAAAACGUCUUCUUCUUCUCCUGACCUCUCGCCAUAUGCAAACUCUGCACUGUUUUCUCAGUGAGAGCUAAUUCUCAGACGUUUUAGCACAUCUUGGUUUGUUACUGACCCCAAUGAAGACACCAGUUAGCUCAAAUCCAGCAGAUUUGUCAACAUCCAAUUUCAGGAAAGGAUGCACAACAUACAGAUACAACACUAAAACAAGAGCAAAGUGACCACAGCAUUGGAAUUUAAGAAACGGCUGUUACAGGCUGUUAACAAGCUUCAAAAUGCUUGUUUAAAUGACAUUGUGAAUAACAAACAACUGGUCAACCAUGUGUUUAGUUCCUGAGCAAAGUGGCCUUUGCGAUCUUCUCUUUGUUCUAAGGAGGUUCUUCCAAGAAAUCAGCCUCAAGAUAAAGAUUCUUCAGUGGUUUCAAACAUUCUCCAUUUUUUACAACAAAAAGGCUCUUGAGAAGCAAGCAGGUCUUGCUCAGAGCAGCCAUCUUAGCCUGCCAUUUUUUGUUCCACCUAUUGGCAUAUUAAAGUCAGCUGCCUUCAGCUGCUAGGUAAGAGCUGUACGCAGACCUAAGCUACCAGCCCCACCUUCAGCCAGCUGAAACUGAGCAUCUGAAAUUAUCAUUCUGUGUAUUCCCUGCAUUCAAAAGGGGACUCUCUGGUGUGCAAUUACUGCAGCAGAAUUGUAUUCUGUUCAUCUAGGAUUCAACUGAGUCCGAGGGUUUAUUUUCCAUUAAAGGUGGGAAAUUUAGACGAUUGUGCGAUCGCCAAUUGCAAUUACCGUUGGCAACUGUUUUUAUCUCACAUGCAUUUGAACUUUUGAGAAUAUCAGACUAUAUACCCUCUUGCAUUUUCGCGGGGGUGGGGAGUAUUGUGCAUAUAUCAUUAUGCAACUAGAAAGGUUUAUCAAAAAAGAAAUAGAGAAAUUAAACAUAUUAAAAAUGCAGACAUUAAGACUGCUAAGAGAAAUUAAGAAAGUUAAUUAAAAAAAUUCAACAAGCAGUAACAAUAAAUAAAAAUUAUUCUAAAUUAAGUUUAACCUUGCAGUAUUAAGUCCUGGUAUUCAUUAUAUGAAUUGCUACAGCAGACCAUGCUUAAUUUAAUUUUGUGGUAGACUUUUGAUAAGUAGUGAUUUUAAAAACAAGUGCAGGUAUCUUCCCCCUUUGUGAGAGUGCUUUUGUUGUGGUUGCACCUUUCAGCAUCUAGCAAAAAUUACUGCUUCUGCCAUAAUGAAAUACUGCCUAACACUGAUUUUCUGAAAUAACAUUUUUGGGUUGAUUGGUCAUUGGACAUUAAGCAUUUCUUAAAUACUAGUAGCUUUGGUAUCUUGUACCUAUUGCAUGCACUGUGGUUUUUUAUUUGUUUGUCUGUUGUUUUAUUAAGACAUUUCUAUACUGUCCUUUCUCAAAAGGCCACAGGGUGCUUUACAACACAAAAACAACAUGACAAUACAAGAACGUUAAAGCAAUUAUUUCGUUAAAACUCCUAACAAAAGCAGCUGCAACAAAAGUAUUCACAAAUUGCUACUGUCCCUGUUCCCUCGAUAUUAAAUUUAUAUCCCGCCCUUCCUCCCAAAGGAGCCCAGAGCAGCAACCAACAAGUGAUAAAACAAUAAAAAUGUCUUUAAAACAAUUCCAGUAUAGAUGCAGACGGGGAAAGAUUUCCACUUAAAAGCCUUGUAGGAAAACAGAGGUCUUCAGUAGGCAAUAGACAGGCAGCAGACAGCCGGUCUAAUAUUCACAGGGAGGGAAUUCCAGUGGUCCAGUUCCAAGACACUAAAGGCCAAUUGCUAUAUUGUGCAGAAUGGACCUCCUGAUAAAAUGGCAUCUACAGGCAGUGGCAUAGCAUAGAUUGCUAGUGCCCGGGACAAGGAAAGUAUGGCGCUCCUUAACCAGCACCUCCAUGUGGCGCUGCCGCCACCACUGUGCGCAGCUGCAGAGCAGCCGCGGGACAUGCAUGUGCCCCUCCUUGGGCUGGGGUGCAGCCACCACCACUCCCUUCAGGCAUUGACCUGAGCCAGACUUCCUUUGCUUCAACAAGGUGGCUGUAUUGUGGGCAUCAAAACCAUGCCCUGGGAACUGAUCGCAUCUUACGCUCAGGUUUCUGCCACAAACAAGGAAUAUUACCUUGCUAGGACCCGGUUCCAUAACACCUCGUUUCAAAACCAUUAGUAGAGUGGAAGCACAGAAUCCGACACAACAUCAAUUACGUUUUUUAUUGAACACAAGGUGACCAGGGAGAGAUGCCAAGGGGACAGAUGUCAUUCACAGGAGUCAUCUACAAUCACCCAGAGGAUUUAAAAAAAAAAAAUUAGAGGGAGAAGAAACCAGGAACCUCUCAACCUCCCACAGUGGUGGCAGCUGUGUCCAAAGGAUGCGGAUCCCCACUGCUCUUUCAGCCACUGCCAAAGAGGGCCCUCACUUCAUCCUGAAACAGAGGGCGGUGUUGCAGUGAGACGUCCUCCCUCGCCAAAGAAUAAAAGCCGCUUGCUUGCUGUGUCAACCAAUUAAGUUUAGAGACGUGGGCAAUAAAUAUUUAAAGAGGACCCCUUUCUUCCGGAGCCACAGGCUGUCUGAAUCUACUUUCCGC
rnacentral:lncRNA from 1 species